rnacentral:lncRNA from 12 species
CUUUUCCACAGCUGCUGUGUGAAGAGCCUGGAUGGACUAGGAAGCAUGACCAUCUUAUGGGGCUCUCUUCUGUUGUCCUGGGGAAACCAGAACAGGAUGAUCCAUUUAAAGGGUUUUACAGCUGGUCCAGUGGCUUGUGCAGGCUGUUGGGAACCAGCAGAGUGAAUUGUGGCCACACUUUCAUCUUUGGUGUGAAUAUAUCACAUGAAAUUUCUAUCACCUGUGUGAGAGGCAUGGCCCAGCAGCUGGAAAAAUCCAUCCAUUUUGGGCAGAAGGUUUGUUUUCAUCUCCAUCCUUCUCUUCCCAAGAGCCAAA